GGACCCGCACAAGCGGUGGAGCAUGUGGUUUAAUUCGAAGCAACGCGAAGAACCUUACUAAAUCUUGACAUCCUUUGACAACUCUAGAGAUAGAGCCUUCCCCUUCGGGGGACAAAGUGACAGGUGGUGCAUGGUUGUCGUCAGCUCGUGUCGUGAGAUGUUGGGUUAAGUCCCGCAACGAGCGCAACCCUUAAGCUUAGUUGCCAUCAUUAAGUUGGGCACUCUAAGUUGACUGCCGGUGACAAACCGGAGGAAGGUGGGGAUGACGUCAAAUCAUCAUGCCCCUUAUGAUUUGGGCUACACACGUGCUACAAUGGACAAUACAAAGGGCAGCGAAACCGCGAGGUCAAGCAAAUCCCAUAAAGUUGUUCUCAGUUCGGAUUGUAGUCUGCAACUCGACUACAUG
rnacentral:rRNA from 1 species